CCCUUCUCCCCUUGUGAAUUCCACUCAUCCAUUACAGACACCUUAUGAGUUCUUUCAUUUGUUUUUUUCCAGCUAAGUAUUAGUCACUAGAGAUAUGAGGAGGACAAACACACACUGCCUGGCUAUGAGAAGCUCAUCAUUCAGCUGUGGCAAGGGACAGAGAGAGGGGAGUUCCUACAUGUGGGCACGGGGCAGGAGCUCACUCAAAGCUUGAUGAGCGAAUGAAUGAGCCUAGGAAGGAGCCAAGGAACACACGCUUUUCAGGCCACAACAGACAUUAGCAAAAUUAUCUUAUCCGAUCUCAGCCUCUAUUUAAUCAGAAAGGCUUGGUCCAGGGUGGUCACCUUCCCAGCUCUACUCUGAAUCCUUCAUGAGCUACAUGCCGGACUAUAAGGUGGCACCCCUUGGGAUUAAAAAACGAGAAAGUCCCAGCCUCUCUGUUCCUGGAGCUCACAACAGCGGAACCAGCCAACAGGACAUCCACAUGGGGACGUACGAAGAGUUCUAUCCUGCCUUCCCCUCCAUGCCUUGGCCAGUUGUUUCCAUCUCAAUGGUACCUCCUUUCUGAAGGGUUUUCUUCUGCCUGUUCUUGGAAGUCUAUGUAGUCAUUCGAUAUCCACAUGGGAAGGUGAGGAAAGAAGACACGCACAAGGGACUUCAGAAGGGAGGCCAGUCUUCUGAGAGCAAGAGGUGAGGCCUGAGGAGCAUGAUGUGGGGGAAGAGUGUGGGCUUUGGGUCUGACAGAUCUGGGUUCAAGUGCUGGGUGCUGCCACUCAUUUGCUGUGCAUGACCUUGGAGGACAUUGCCCUACUUAUCUGAACUUAUUAACUCAUGUAUAAAACAUGGAUGAUAAAUAGGUCUCUUACAGCAUUGAUGGUGAACUCAGUGAACUCAGUGUGUGGGGGGCUCAAUAAACAGUGGUUCUAUUCAUUACCAACUUUCCUGCCUCUGAAAAUCCCCAGCACUCUGUUGUCCAUCUUUAGCAUUUAUCCUGCCUUUGUCUUGCAUUAUGGGAGAACAGGUACUUGUCUCUUCUGCCACUGGGCCACAGGCCUUUGGAAGGCAGGGAUAUUCCCUCCCUGUGCCAUAUCCCUU
rnacentral:lncRNA from 1 species